rnacentral:SRP_RNA from 1 species
UGUUAGUCUCAAGCACUGUAAAAUUGAAUAUUUGGUCAGAUUUGGAAAGAAGCAGCCAGUUCAGCUAAUACAGGUGCUUGAUCUUCGCUAACAGAA